GGCCUCACAUGAUGGAGAACUGCCUGGGUAGGACUGUGACCGAGCUGGGAUGUAUUUGUACUGGCUGAUGGGGCC